CCGGUGAUAAGCCGGAGGAAGGUGGGGAUGACGUCAAGUCCUCAUGGCCCUUACGGGUUGGGCUACACACGUGCUACAAUGGCGGCGACAGAGGGUUGCGAGCUCGCGAGAGCAAGCUAAUCCCCAAAAGCCGUCUCAGUUCGGAUUGUUCUCUGCAACUCGAGAGCAUGAAGGUGGAAUCGCUAGUAAUCGCAGAUCAGCAUGCUGCGGUGAAUACGUUCCCGGGCCUUGUACACACCGC
rnacentral:rRNA from 1 species